UACGGAGGAUGCGAGCGUUAUCCGGAUUCAUUGGGUUUAAAGGGUGCGUAGGUGGAAUAAUAAGUCAGUGGUGAAAGCUUGCGGCUUAACCGUAAAAUUUCCGUUGAUACUGUUAUUCUUGAGUAUAGUUGAAGUAGGCGGAAUGUGUAAUGUAGCGGUGAAAUGCUUAGAUAUUACACAGAACACCAAUUGCGAAGGCAGCUUACUAAGCUGUUACUGACGCUGAGGCACGAAAGUGUGGGGAGCAAACAGGAUUAGAUACCCCUGUAGU
rnacentral:rRNA from 1 species